rnacentral:rRNA from 1 species
UACGUAGGGGGCAAGCGUUGUCCGGAUUUAUUGGGCGUAAAGAGCGUGUAGGCGGCCAAGCAGGUCCGCUGUGAAAACUCGAGGCUCAACCUCGAGAGGUCGGUGGAAACCGUUUGGCUAGAGUCCGGAAGAGGAGAGUGGAAUUCCCGGUGUAGCGGUGAAAUGCGCAGAGUAUCGGGAAGAACACCCGUGGCGAAGGCGGCUCUCUGGGACGGUACUGACGCUGAGACGCGAAAGCGUGGGGAGCGAACGAGG